GGCUUUGGUUGUCGUUAGUUUUGUUCGAAUAGUUUCGCAUUAAUAUUUUUUGCAUGUUCACGCGUGCGUGUGUGUAAGUGUAAGUGUCUGUGAGUGUUAGUGUUAGUGUUAAUGGUUGUGUGUGUGUGUGUAACACAAUGCAUUUAAAUAUGGGAAGUGGAAGUGUAUGAUUUGUGCGCGGUAAUUUUCGCUGUCGUCGUCGUCGUCGUCAUCGUCGCCGUCGUCAACGUCGUUAGGGCUUUGAACUCGCGACGUUCGGUCUACCCGUUCAACGGCUCGUUGUCGUCAGACGCAUCGAAGCAUCAGACGCCUACCCCUCUACACACCGCACCGCCCCGCCCCGCCCCUAUGUGUGCUACUGAAAAGUGUAACAACAACAGCAACAACAAUAUGCUGCCUUAUUAUCUUGUGUCCCGCUCCCGCCUGAUAAGCGACUUUGGCAAUCAGUUAUUGGCCCGACGCGCCGUGUGGAGCUCUAAUGAGCAUUGAACUGCAAAUUACACAAGCGUGCGAAAGUGUGAAUGGGACAGCAAGAGGGAGAGCAAUAAUUGAACCAGGGAUGCAUCACAAGAGCUUCUUUUUGUUGUUGUGGCGGCCCUGAACUCGCCAGGAACUUGCAAUUGUUUUGUUGUUGCUGCUGAGCUGGAAUUGAAAUUGUUAUGCAUUUUAAAGUGGCGAUGGUAUAUCUGCAUUCUAAAAUAUCAACAAUAAGUUUGAUGCGCUUGAGAAUGAAGUGCGGAAUGUGGAAUGCGGAAGCGCAGGCAGAACUGUGUUUAAUGCUGAGUUUUGCUAAAGGCAAUCAAAAUUAAAACCAAAUGUGGCAUUAUGAAUCUAUUUUAAUGGAUCUUACUCCAAGAAUAAUGUGAAAAAAGGAAAACAGAAUUCGCAUCAAAUGAAAUCGUUUGACGAAGAAGUUAAUGAGAAAAGCUUUCCAGCUGACUUCACAAAAUGCAAAUGGAGGAAAAAGUGCAUCUGAAAUUGCAUUUGAAAUUGACACUAAAUGGAUAUUACUUAAAUGGGUUAAACAGUAAUUAGCUUUGAUUGGCCAGCUCGUUUUUGGGUGGCGCGUCAGUUCCACCUUCCACCUUCCACCUUCCGCGUUCCACGUUCCGCAUUCCGUAUUCCGCAUUCCUCACUGCCCCAUUCCACUGUUCGCCUGCUUCGCUUUCGGGUGUUGCGAGAGAGCGAGAGAGAAACACAGACGGCGGCUGCAGCCGAUGGACAAAUGGAGAGAUGGACAAAUGGACAAAUGGAGAGAUGGAGAGAUGGACUAACGGACUAACGGAGAAUGAGCAGCAGGCGGAAAACAAAUUACACAUGAUGUCCAAAGGAAUAACUUUUGUGAGGCUGCCAAUAAAUUCAGUAUAAUUUUCAAAAUGUUAAAUAAAAUACAUUACACUUAAUUUCCAAAUGUACAAUAAAAUGUUUUUAAAACCA